CUUCGUCGCCUCGCGCGAUGGCCCCACCCCUAACCAAACCCGUGACUACCCCGCCCCUCCCGCACCCCAACCAUCUACUCCCUCCAGCAUCCAGCCGCUUCCUUACCGCACCAUCCAGCCAUCUCCCCUGCAUCCGGCGCCACACAGCCGCCGGAUCCGGUUGUUGUCGCAUCCUCAAUGGCCGUCACCGCCUCCAUAGGGCGGAUCCGGCAUCCAGCGCACGAAUCCGGCUGACAUCGCCUCUCCCUCGACUGUCCAUGUCCUCCACCGCACAUCUCGGGGUUACGGAGGCCUGACGUCGUGCCCGGAUCGCGGGCAGGAGGAGCAGCACGAAGGCGCAGCUCUGGGCAUUGAACUCCUUGGGGUCUGGGCAUGGAUCUCGGCAUAGGUGCCCGAGAUCGUGCGGAUGCCUGGCCGCCACCCUCACGCGUGGCCUGGACCACCGAGUGCGGUGACGACGUGGUGGAAGAGCUGUUUGGCCUCUUGGUGAUGGUGGACAGCCACGGUGGGCGCCGCUUAGUCAGCCCGUGCGGGCGGUGGUGGGGAGAAGGUGACCAGGCCGGCAAGGCCGGUGUCUGAAGUCGAUUCCUGCAGGGCCGCUUCCCAAGUCACUAUGUUAAGGAGGUGCGCCGCUGCGCGCCACUUGCUCGACUACCCCAGAUGCCCUAGAGGCGAUUCCGGUGAACAAGAUGACGGCCAGAAGCAACCUCGUAUGCUCUUCAGCCUAUCGCCUUUCCUUUUUUAUUUCCUCUUUGUGUGAGUCCUGGGCUUGGAUUCCCUAUUUGUACAGCCCUAGGUUUGAGAGGCAAAAUGGACCCUACUGCAAUUGUUGACAUCUGGGUUUUGUAUCUUCUCGAAGUCUACUUUCAUGUAUGGAGUUAAUCCAUGUCUUGUUUCAGUUACACUAUUUCUGUGAAAAUUUCGAGAGAACCAGAUGAGAUGAGAAAGGGUGGAGCUGAUUGCCUCACGAACUCUAGGGAGGGAUCUGUAUGCUCUGUACGUAGGGCCAUUGACCCCUGCCUCCGUUGAUGGAUGGCAGCCUCCUUUCUGCUGGAAAGGCAGAAGCUAAGAUCCACUCCAGUUCACACCUAAUAACACAGAGAAAUAAUUUUUCAUUUUGGCAUUGAAUUUGGAUAUAUCAAAGCUUGUGAUCAGGGAAAAAGGUAAAUGUGUUCCAUUCUAUGAAGUGAGCGGCCGAAUCUAAAUACAUAUUUAAUUUUGAGAUAUCUCGAAUUGAUCUAUCCAGUUAGUCACGGAUUGAUUUGAUUGUACAUCCUCCGUCCCACGAAGCUUGCCUUAACUUUGUCAAAAUUUGGACAUAUCUAGGCACUAUUUAGCAUUCAGAUACGUCCAAAUUUUAGUAAAGUGAGGACGAACUUCAUGGGACUGAGGGAGUAAUUCUAAUAUCACAGUGUUAUACCUUAUCGCUAGAGGUUCAACUGAAACCACAUGCCCAAAUUUAAGCCAAUUCCCUAUGUUAGUACCGUAGUGGCUUUCGGGCAAUACAACGAAUAUAUGGCGUGUAGUGUUGGUAUGCUGCUGGAAGUGUAUUGUAGGGUCUUGAUUUCUCUCGGUCAUUUGAGGGAUGUUGAUGGGAAGCGGUGUAAGCACUAUACAUGCAAGAAGUUGAAUCAUUAAGUUGCCUCUGUGACCCUGUUCUAUGUGUGUUUAAUCAUUGUACUUCGUUCAGUUACUGUCUUGAUAUGGUACUACUAAAAUCCCCGCUGAUCGAAUAUUAGCUAAGGCCCUAGCAUAUUGUUCUACUAACCGUUCAUUUUGUGCAUUGUAAUUCUGUACUGCACUUUCUAACCAAAAUGAGAUCCAAAGAUUUGCUGGAGUUGCAGGUUCAUUUCACCUACCAAUUUUCAAUCAGAUUGUCAAAAGAGAUCAACACACAAUCACAUUUCCAGACAGGUUAAUCUUUUGCCUUUUGAACAUAUACAUUCCAUUCUUUUGACAAUAAUUGAAGGAGACUUCGUCUCUAUGUGAAAAAAACACACAUGUAACGAAGCAUAAGGUUAGAGAAUUAGUACUCCCUGCUGCAUGAAUUACUUGACGCACAACACAGGCAAAGCGAAGCUCAUAACCUCAUGGUAUGCGACCAUUAAAGGGGGCCAGAGGGUGAGAAAGCUUUUAUGUCAUGGAUUGCGCUCAAAGUGUUCGAAGUUAAUUUAGAAAGCAUCAACUCGAUAAUAUGAAGAAUUGGGGAAGUAAAGAAAAGUGGAGAAAAUAUUAAAAUGGAAAGGGCCAGAACAUGUAUAUAUUGCAGUUAGUUUCAUUUUUUAAUCCUAUAACUUAUACAUGUGACGGGAAGGUGAUUACACUUUGAACUGUGACUUCCUUUUAGAUAUGAUCUAUGAAACACAUACAUAUCUUAAGGAAACAUACAAAGUCGAGUUUUAUCUAGGAGAUGGACCUCUUUCACCUCCCCAUUUAUUAUUCCUGAAACAUGACAUAUUUCACGGGUUUCAAAACAUGUUUUGUCCCAGUAAGUUUCUUGCUCUCUUAUUUCACGACUUUUGUAUGGUUUUAUUUUUCCAUCCAUUAAGAUUUGUUUUAGCUAGCUUGGUUUAGAGCUACAUCAUUUCGUCUAUUGAUUUUCUUGACAUAUUAUUUGCAGCUAAAAGUAUACAGUGUACUUAUGUUGGCAUUCUUUGACUGCAGAAGAACAUUGAACCAUGUAUUAGUAAGCGUAAUAAUAAUCAAGGCAAUGGUCCACUGGGCAUAUUAAUACGUGUAUCCUGCAUUAUCAGGUAUACAUCAUUAAUACGUUAGAAAUACUACUGCAUUAUCAGGUACUAUGUGUACCCUGCAUGUCACUCUUAUCAAGCACAUUAAUACAUUGCCUAAAUACUCAUAUUAUGCGUCAUCUUUUUCUCCAAUGCACAGAACCAGAAUUGUGGGUCUUGUAGUUCUACUUCUUAUUGUUGCCACUGUAAUCUUGAUCUUAUGCUUGAUAAUUGCCAUCCUGGGAAGAGCUUUUACUUGAUUAGUAUGUCUUUCUAGCACCAAAAAUAGCCCUGUUCGAUGCAAUUGGGGAAGGCAAAGAAAGUCCAUUUCUUCAUUGAUUUGUGGUACAUUUUUUCUUUCAAUUAUACAUGAUAUUACUUUGUGUUUAUUCCAUUCUUGCUUGGUAGAACAUUUUCGACAUCGCAGUAUCCGAUAGAUGUCUUACAUAUGAUUCACCCAUAAUUCGUGGGUUUGCAUUAUUCUUGUUCUCCAUGUAUUCGCUUUCUGCUGAAGUAGUUGCUGACUACCUGUCUAUAACGGAGCAAGAGAAUGCCUUCACCAGAUUUUUUGGGAACCACUUCAGCAGGAUAAGCAUGAGGACAUUACUCAUAGACUAGCGCAUGAAAGUGAUGGACUUCUUGUUCCUGAAAGCUUACAACUCAGUCAAUUACACUGAUCUGAUCUGUGCCAGUAUCGCAAAGAGAUCAAUUGACUCAAGUGUAGCUACUUGGUGUUGCCUGCUUGUUUUUAGUUGCAUAAGGUCCGUUGAGUUUAUUUUUAUCUCUUACUUAUUGAAGUUCCUUUUUUCUUGGUUCUGAUCUGAUAUGUUGUAAAAUGUUCAAACUUCAGUAAAUAUAUGAGGAUAUACAGUGGCGGAGCCACACUUAGGCUGGGUAGUCAAAUGACUACACAACUUUUCAACAACAUAAGAUGAAAGUGUGUAAAAAAAUAUUAAAAAUUUAUAUAAAUACAUGUAUUUAGCUACACAACAUUAAACUGACAACACAAGGUUGUUGUCCUGGCUUCGCCACUGAGGAUAUAUGUCCACUCCAAGUAAAUGAGCUCUGCUACAUCACUAAGAAUAACUCUAAAGAUGAGGUCCAUGGUUCAAUGCAGAUUGAAUUUCCUUUCAUGUUUGUUUCAUAUUCUUGUGUUCUAACAUAGAUAAACAUGUUUUGAAGAUGGAAGGUUCUAUCGUGAGUUGUUUUAGAUAUGGCUGUCCCUAUUGUGAAAUGUUUAUAUUCUUUGUUAAGUUCUGGUCUCUGGCUACUGAAAAAGCUCAACGGGGCGGAAACGCAUCCAUCCGCUUAUUUUCACUAACAAUCAAGACCCACAUAUUACCUUUUUUAUAGGCUUUGCAACGUAUGAUGUGGAGAAGUCAAUCCAACCCGUUGCCUGUUACUCUGUUUUCUUUCUUCAGCCGAAGACAUUAGAUAACCUCAAGAAUAUUAUAUCUUUCAUCAACGAUUUUAUUUUCCAUUUUGAUUUUAGUAUUCACAUCUGUUGUAUAUGUCAAUCGGGUACUGGCUUGGAUGAUUUUGUUAGCUCGGGAAUAGAUUCGUUUUCCUGGUCAUGUCAGCGUCUAGCACUAUUUACUUGAGUUAGUUUUUUCUCAACCAGAAAAACUUCAGUGUUGAUCUACAUUAGAAUUGCUGCACAUGUAGUUUUAUGACAUCUAAGCCAUUUGGAUUUUAUUUAUCAGACUAGCUGCCAAAUUUUUGACGUAACAACGGGCACAUAUCUAAUUGAAUAUAUGGCUCAUGAGGGCACUUCGGUACUGGAUUGUGCUUGCUGUUAUACAGAAGGAAGUGGAAACACGGUUGAUGAAUAAUCAAAGUGUUCUAUCUAUUUUUCAUUUCAUUCAUUACGAAUGGUUAUCUCCUAGAUCUUGGAUAUUAAGCCGUCUCGGAUCGCGGGCAUGUCACAAGUGGUGUGGACGACACAUAUGAAGAAACCACCAACGUUGAGUGGCUGAGUGUGGAGGCAGCAUCUCGCUAGGUACUGGUGUCAAGGGGCCAUAGAGAGGAGGCUUCGUCUGGUAACGUGUGAAAUAUGAUUAUAUGUUUCGGGUGAUGCAUGCCGAGAAAUGCCCUGGGUGAUGGCAAAUUGGCUUGGAAUUCCUGAGCUUGGAUCGAUCGUUGUUUGAGUAGUGCCCAAAAGAAAGCACAAAAUUGUAUGGAACCUCAUGGAAAGCGAAAAUUUAUUAACUUAUACAUAUAAUUAUCAUUUUUUUUUCU